ensembl:lncRNA
AACACUUUGUUGCAGAAUUUCGUUUUAAAUGGUUGACUUUUUUCCCCUUUGGUAUCGGUGCUUUUUGAAAACUUGAGCUUCUUCAAAGGACAGCUUGUAUUAGAUAUUCACAGAGGAAGUCAGAACCUGGAUGACUUUGUGACAAAAACACUGCAAAUGUGAGAGUGCUGCUGUGCUGAGAAUGACUUUGAGAAUAAACUGAUUUUGGAUGAUUACCUAUCUUUAAAAUGUUUUUUUGAAAAAUCAGAUUGUAACACUCUAAAGUAUUAAACUUCAGUGCAAACUUAUGGCAAUAUUCAGCGCUACCCACAACAUAGAUCAUAGAAAGCAGUUCCACCUAGUCCAGGCUUUUCUUUAGUAAUGAAAAUACCAAUGUCCAAAGUUGUUCAUUUAAGAAUGUUUUGGGCCAAGUAAGGAACCUGUAUUCUGUAUUUCAUCAUGGCCCAGAAGAACUGUUGCAGAUGCUGUGCCUCAGAAUUUGUGGGGUCUUACGUUGGCCAUGGCAUGAGAAAGGAGUUGUUCAGGAAAUUAGUCUCUGUGUGUCCAUUUGCAAAAAGCCAUUGCCAAAAUUUAUUUGGGAAAGAUUAUAAGCCA